rnacentral:rRNA from 1 species
UACGGAGGGGGCUAGCGUUGUUCGGAAUCAUUGGGCGUAAAGGGCGCGUAGGCGGCCUGAUAAGUCGGGUGUGAAAUCCCUCGGCUCAACCGAGGAAUUGCAUCCGAAACUGUCGGGCUAGAGUCCGGGAGGGGGUAGCGGAAUUCCCAGUGUAGCGGUGAAAUGCGUAGAUAUUGGGAAGAACACCGGUGGCGAAGGCGGCUACCUGGACCGGAACUGACGCUGAGGCGCGAAAGCCAGGGGAGCGAAUGGG